UAGGACCUAUGCAGAACUCGUGAUCGCUACAAUCUGGCAGCGGGAUCCCUUCUUCCGAGAGAAUAUCCUUUCGGUAGUAUAUACUACCAGACGCAGGGAAAUUCAAUGACAUCAAUCGUGUCUCCCACUCAACAAUCUGCUUCAUGAUUCCGUGCUGCUCUUUUGGUGUCAUCGUAAACCAUACAUCUCCCAGAGGGCUGCCGUUCAAUUUUUCCAUAAUGAUGUAGGGUUCUCCCGUGUUGAACACCAAGCAUACACUUUAGGCGUAGUGAUACCAUGCAACCGAAGAUAGUCCAGAGUCGCCACUUCGCUAGCAACUCCGUAGUGUUCGGGUCCGGUGGAAGGAUAUGGAAUUCUAGCGAUAACGCGAUUCCCGUCAUUAAAUGUCACUUGAAAUAAUCGGUUGAAUCCGCCUUCUGCAAGCUUAAAAAAUGAAAUGAUAUCAGAAGUGGAAUGUCCGGAUGCGGCAGCAAUGGCCUUCUGGAGGGCAGGUAUAUCGAACUCGAGGUAACGUUCCGUCAACCGCAGAUGCUCAUUAUAGCUACUGCGCUGUCAGCCUGGGACGGAUAUCCCUAGAAGUAAAGACGUACAUCCAUCUUCCCGAAGUAUACUGAAAUAGUUCAUCCUUAGAGUUUUUAACCAGCUGACGGCGGACGGAUCCUGUUAUGUUCCUGAACUGUUGGGCACUGUACAAACGGAAGGGCAAAUACUGAGUGAGAAACGAACGGAGGGCGUUGCGAAGUUGCAUGUUCUAAAAUCGAUUUCCAAUCGUAAAAUGAUGUGUUCUUGAGGACAAUGAUUCCUUCAAAACUCUUCCAUCGAUCGCCAGGGGCAUGUCUCUGGUUCUACACAUUCGGCAAUCAAGGAGGCCUGGAUCAUCAGCGGAAUUGUUAGUGUCGAAUUUUGCCGCUCAAGUAACUAUCCAAUGAUGUGUGGCCUAUGUACGGACGUUUUCUCAUGGCCUUGCCUAAAGUGGUCAUAUCCAUCUAGCGAUGAUAUCAAUCGACGAUGCGA
rnacentral:sRNA from 2 species